rnacentral:pre_miRNA from 1 species
UAACUUCCGCGGGCAGGCCAGCACCCGGGCUAGGCUGGAUGAGUAUCUCUUCAAAAGGCUCGCCCUCAAGCAUAACUAGGAGC